GCGGUUGUAGCUCAGCCGGUUAGAGUGCCGGCCUGUCACGCCGGAGGUCGCGGGUUCGAGCCCCGUCAACCGCGCCA
rnacentral:tRNA from 1 species